UAGUCUUACCGGUGGAUCACUCGGCUCGUGGGUCGAUGAAGAUCGCAGCCAAAUGCGAUAGUUAGUGUGAACUGCAGAUAUUCUGAGCACUAAGGCAUCGAAUGUGCAUUACGCCUUGGGACUAAAAUCCCUUGGCGCGCCUGGUUCAGGGUCAU
rnacentral:rRNA from 2 species